rnacentral:lncRNA from 1 species
AUGAACAAAGAAAUAUAAUAACAACUAAUUUAUUAUUGCCUCUAGGGCAUAUUUCCAACAGUGGCGUCGGGGGCUACAGUUGUGGCCAAAUCAGCCUCACCGGCCCCGCUACUCACUCGGCGACAUCAGUGGCAGAAAUGAACUCCACAUAAACCAUGGGCUGUCGAAACAUGGAGUUAUUGGGAUUGCUUGCAAACCCCAUGUACGACACACAUGCUCUUUGCGAGUAACCCGUCGCACAACCCAACGAUUUCCUUCCUCAACCACGAAAGCCUCCAUGGUCAUUUGUUUUCCAUCCAUCGCUGAACCAAACACCGCUCGGAUGCACCUUCUAACUGCCGCAUACCCUACAUUAACCAUGUCUCUCAGUACAACCAUAGUCAUCCCACACCUAGACACAUCCACACCAGAAGGACCGUCCCAUAUGAUGUCACCAUAGAACACUAACAAAUUUUCCACUGUACCUAACGAGCAGACAUAUUUACAUCGUUAGUCCAUUAAAAAUCAUAUUAUUAUAUGUAUAUUAUAAUAACAUCUAAUAAUAAUCAUUUUUUACAUAUAACAAUUUGACAAAUAUUCGCAAACGUCUGUACAUCUACGCAUAAUAAUUUAUAUUGUACCAUUUUUUGCGACAUUGCAUCUAGAAAAUAAAUACAAGAUAAAUUACAAUAUAUCAUUCAUACCUUUGGUUUAAUAAGGAUAUCCUUCCAAAUACAAAAUAAACGUGAGUAUGAACAUAUCACUAGUAAAAUAUCAACGAAUUCGACCUAUUAUCACAUGAACAAAAAAAUUACACACAUACUUUUUUCCUGCUGCCAAAAGUUUUAGAAUACAUAUUGCAUGCAUAAACAUAUCACCAGUCAUAUAUCUACAGCGUUGAUAAAUUAUCACAUAAAUAAAAAUAUUACACAUGUGUCUUGCACGUAAAAAAAUAAUAAUACUAAUAAAGUUAACAUAUUAUUACAUGUUUAACAAAAAUGCUAGUUACACACAAUGAUGCGUCUUGCAUGUAAAAUUACUACACAAAAUGAUACAUUACAGUCUAAAUAAACAGAAAAUACAUACUUAGAAAACUAAUCAAAUAGAGUAAAAUUUUCAUGCAUGCGAACAAAACCUACGAAAAUGAUUUAAUCUUACCUUGAUCUAUCUUUUUUUCAACUACACCAUAUUCGAAAUCCAACCCUAAAGACCAGAAAUCUUGAAUCAAAGUGAAGAGAGGAGUGUGUUCUCCAGCUAGAGAUGAGAGAAAAGAGAAAGAGAAGAGAGAUGCCCGGUGGGAGCGGGCGAGCAGCUAAUAAGAAACGAAACCGGUCACUGUUUCGUCGAUGGAGACACAUGAGAAUCAACGCCGUCAGCGUGAAACUGUGUGCGGUCAGGCACAGUGCCGGUCGCCUCACACGGUGGCAGCAGGGCCCGGCAACUGCAGCCCAUUUCAUCGCGGUGUGGCUGAAAC